ACUCUCGGCAACGGAUAUCUCGGCUCUCGCAUCGAUGAAGAACGUAGCGAAAUGCGAUACUUGGUGUGAAUUGCCGAAUCUCGUGAACCAUCGAGUCUUUGAACGCAAGUUGCGCCUGAAGCCACUAGGCCGAGGGCACGUCUGCCUGGGCGUCACGCAUCGCAUCGCCCCCGCACAUUGCGCCCAUUCUCAUAGUUGCGUUUGUGUCGUGGGACGUAUACUGGCCUCCCGUGUUCCUCGAGUGUGCGGUUGGCCUAAAUGCGGGUCCACGGUGACGGACGUCACGACAACUGGUGGUUGAAACUCAACUCUUGUAAUGUCGCGGCACCAACCCAUCGUAUGUUUGGGCUCCCCGACCCUUAUCAUGCUUAGGCGCUUCCACCGCGACCCCAGGUCAGGCGGGAAUACCCGCUGAGUUUAAGCAUAUCAAUAAGUGGAGGAAAAGAAACUUACAAGGAUUCCCCUAGUAACGGCGAGCGAAUCGGGAACAACCCAGCCUUAGAAUCGGGCAGCUCUAUUGUCUGAAUUGUAGUAUGGAGAAGCUUCCUCAGCGGCGGACCGCGCCCAAGUCCCUUGGAAGGGGUGCUCCAGAGAGGGUGAGAGCCUCGUUGUGCCCGGACACUAUCGCACCACGAGGCGCUGUGUACGAGUCAGGUUGUUUGGGAAUGCAGCCCAAAUCGGGCGGUGAAUUCCGUCCAAGGCUAAAUACGGGUGAGAGAUCGAUAGCGAACAAGUAUCGCGAGGGAAAUAUGAAAAGGACUUUGAAAAAUGAGUCAAAGAGUGCAUGAAAUUGUCGGGAGGGAACAGAUGGGGGCCGGCGAUGCGCCCCGGUUGGAUGUGAAACGGUGUUGAGCUGGUCCGCUGAUCGACUCGGGGCGUGGACCAGCGUGGAUUGGGGGGGGGCAAAGACCGGGCUUUUGAUACGCUCGUACAAUGCCGUCUCCUUGAUUGUGGUAGGCAACGCGCGCCUUUGGCGCGCUUUGGCAUCUGCGCGCUCCAGACACUGGCUUGUGGGCACCCCAUUCGACCCGUCUUGAAACCCAGACCGAGGAGUCUGAUAUGUGUGCGAGUCAACGGGCGACUAAACCCGUAAGGCGUAAGGAGGCUGAUUGGUGGGAUCCCCCUGAGGAGUGCACCGCCGACCGACCUUGAUCUUCUGUGAAGGGUUCGAGUGUGAGCAUACCUGUCGGAACCCGAAAGAUGGUGAACUAUGCCUGAGCGAGGCGAAGCCUGAGGAAACUCUGGUGGAGGCUUGCAGUGAUACUGACGUGCAAAUCGUUCGUCUGACUUGGGUAUAGGGGGCGAAAGACUAAUCGAACCGUCUAGUAGCCGGUUCCCUCCGAAGUUUCCCUCAGGAUAGCUGGAGCUCGCGUGCGAGUUCUAUCGCGUAAAGCCAAUGAUUAGAGGCAUUGGGGGCGCAACGCCCUUGACCUAUUCUUAAACUUUAAAUAGGUAGGACGGCACGACUGCUUUGUUGAGCUGCGCCACGGAAUCAAGAGCUCCAACUAGGCCAUUUUUGGUAAGCAGAACUGGCGAUGCGGGAUGAACCGGAAGCCGGGUUACGGUGCCAAACUGCGCGCUAACCUAGAUCCCACAAAGGGUGUUGGUCGAUUAAGACAGCAGGACGGUGGUCAUGGAAGUCGAAAUCCGCUAAGGAGUGUGUAACAACUCACCUGCCGAAUCAACUAGCCCCGAAAAUGGAUGGAGCUUAAGCGCGCGACCUACACCCGGCCAUCGGAGCAAGUGCCAGGCCCCGAUGAGUAGGAGGGUGCAGCGGUCGCUGCAAAACCUUAGGCGAGAGCCUGGGUGGAGUGGCUGUCGGUGCAGAUCUUGGUGGUAGUAGCAAAUAUUCAAAUAAGAACUUUGAAGGCCGAAGAGGGUAAAGGUUCCAUGUGAACGGCACUUGCACAUGGGUUAGUCGAUCCUAAGGGUCGGGAGAACCCCGACAGAUAGCGCGUUUCACGCGUACUCCAAAAGGGAAUCAGGUUAAACUUCCUGAACUGGGACAUGGCGGUUGACGGAAAUUUUAGGAAGUCUGGAGACGUUGGCGGGGGCCUCUGGAAGAAUUAUCAUUUCUAUUUAACAGCUUGCCCACCCUGGAAAUGACUUUUCUAAUUGGGUAUUAGAAGUGUUGUAUGUAUUUAGAUGGUGGAAUUGGGAUCAGGUAUGGUGAUGCCGUUGUUAUAUAGAGUUGGAGACUCGGAGUUCUCACAUUCAGACUACGUUGUGGUUGUGGGUCGCAUGUAGUAGCUCUAUUUAGCGACUAUCGGGGUUUGGAGACCUGAGUGGAUCUUUUGUUACCUGGUAUGUUACAUUUUUGAUGUGAUAUCGGGUAUAGACUGGUUGUCUCAAUGUUGUGUCAUUCUGGGCGAUGUUGGCUAUGACGGGAAUGCCAUGGAUCGAGUGGCGAGAUUCGAUGGAUUUCAUGUUCUAGUAGGGUAGUUUUAUAUUUCGAAAAUGCUGCGAAUGGCUGGGAAGGAUUGUCUUCCUUAUUUGGGCUCUCAUGAGGGAAGUCAGUGUAGAGGCUCCUCAUAUUGAUUCAGUUCCGGUGGUGAGGUACUUUUCGAACGUGUUUCAUAUGGUCGGGCAUGUCGCCGAGCAAAGUUGUUGAUCAGUAUUGAUUUGGUGAUGUGCACCGUAUCAUAUGGCACCGACAGAGUGAGAGGAGUUGAAGGAGUAGCUUCUAGGACUCCUUAAUAAGGGGUUCAUUGGUAGACCUAUAUGGAUGUGCGUUCUACAUCGACAUGGCUUUGUUGACAUCAAGUCGGUAUUGGUGAGGGGUAUG
rnacentral:rRNA from 1 species